AAGGGAAUCUUCCGCAAUGGGCGAAAGCUUGACGGAGCAACGCCGCGUGAGUGAUGAAGGUCUUCGGAUCGUAAAACUCUGUUAUUAGGGAAGAACAAAUGUGUAAGUAACUAUGCACGUCUUGACGGUACCUAAUCAGAAAGCCACGGCUAACUACGUGCCAGCAGCCGCGGUAAUACGUAGGUGGCAAGCGUUAUCCGGAAUUAUUGGGCGUAAAGCGCGCGUAGGCGGUUUUUUAAGUCUGAUGUGAAAGCCCACGGCUCAACCGUGGAGGGUCAUUGGAAACUGGAAAACUUGAGUGCAUGAGAGGAAAGUGAAAUUCCAUGUGUAGCGGUGAAAUGCGCAGAGAUAUGGAAGAACACCAGUGGCGAAGGCGACUUUCUGGUCUGUAACUGACGCUGAUGUGCGAAAGCGUGGGGAUCAAACAGG
rnacentral:rRNA from 1 species